ACCGUAUCUCUCUCGUGUGAGCUCCACGUGCCCCUCGCCUGUGUGCGCGCCACGUUUGCCGUUGUCACGCCACGAGCACCGUAGAGCAUGUCCUCUGCUGCCACCGUGCGCACAGAGAACCGCAACGCCGAGUCGCGUCAUGUGCCGAUGAUUGUUCUAGCAUUGACCAAAAAUGGAGUCCCAACACUGAGUGUGUGCUGACCCGACCACCUAACCGCCUGAUUAAUCACAUGGAUCACCAGAAUUAAUGGCCGGAGUUAAGCUCCGCGGCACCCCUCUCAGGCUUCAAUAAAUAGAGUCCCUUCGUUGCUGCUAAACCCCUCAUCAGCUUCACCUCCUCCCC
rnacentral:lncRNA from 1 species